AGAGUUUGAUCAUGGCUCAGAUUGAACGCUGGCGGCAGGCCUAACACAUGCAAGUCGAACGGUAACAGGAAGCAGCUUGCUGCUUUGCUGACGAGUGGCGGACGGGUGAGUAAUGUCUGGGAAACUGCCUGAUGGAGGGGGAUAACUACUGGAAACGGUGGCUAAUACCGCAUAACGUCGCAAGACCAAAGAGGGGGACCUUCGGGCCUCUUGCCAUCAGAUGUGCCCAGAUGGGAUUAGCUAGUUGGUGAGGUAACGGCUCACCAAGGCGACGAUCCCUAGCUGGUCUGAGAGGAUGACCAGCCACACUGGAACUGAGACACGGUCCAGACUCCUACGGGAGGCAGCAGUGGGGAAUAUUGCACAAUGGGCGCAAGCCUGAUGCAGCCAUGCCGCGUGUAUGAAGAAGGCCUUCGGGUUGUAAAGUACUUUCAGCGGGGAGGAAGGUGUUGUGGUUAAUAACCACAGCAAUUGACGUUACCCGCAGAAGAAGCACCGGCUAACUCCGUGCCAGCAGCCGCGGUAAUACGGAGGGUGCAAGCGUUAAUCGGAAUUACUGGGCGUAAAGCGCACGCAGGCGGUCUGUCAAGUCGGAUGUGAAAUCCCCGGGCUCAACCUGGGAACUGCAUUCGAAACUGGCAGGCUUGAGUCUUGUAGAGGGGGGUAGAAUUCCAGGUGUAGCGGUGAAAUGCGUAGAGAUCUGGAGGAAUACCGGUGGCGAAGGCGGCCCCCUGGACAAAGACUGACGCUCAGGUGCGAAAGCGUGGGGAGCAAACAGGAUUAGAUACCCUGGUAGUCCACGCCGUAAACGAUGUCUACUUGGAGGUUGUGCCCUUGAGGCGUGGCUUCCGGAGCUAACGCGUUAAGUAGACCGCCUGGGGAGUACGGCCGCAAGGUUAAAACUCAAAUGAAUUGACGGGGGCCCGCACAAGCGGUGGAGCAUGUGGUUUAAUUCGAUGCAACGCGAAGAACCUUACCUGGUCUUGACAUCCACGGAAGUUUUCAGAGAUGAGAAUGUGCCUUCGGGAACCGUGAGACAGGUGCUGCAUGGCUGUCGUCAGCUCGUGUUGUGAAAUGUUGGGUUAAGUCCCGCAACGAGCGCAACCCUUAUCCUUUGUUGCCAGCGGUCCGGCCGGGAACUCAAAGGAGACUGCCAGUGAUAAACUGGAGGAAGGUGGGGAUGACGUCAAGUCAUCAUGGCCCUUACGACCAGGGCUACACACGUGCUACAAUGGCGCAUACAAAGAGAAGCGACCUCGCGAGAGCAAGCGGACCUCAUAAAGUGCGUCGUAGUCCGGAUUGGAGUCUGCAACUCGACUCCAUGAAGUCGGAAUCGCUAGUAAUCGUGGAUCAGAAUGCCACGGUGAAUACGUUCCCGGGCCUUGUACACACCGCCCGUCACACCAUGGGAGUGGGUUGCAAAAGAAGUAGGUAGCUUAACCUUCGGGAGGGCGCUUACCACUUUGUGAUUCAUGACUGGGGUGAAGUCGUAACAAGGUAACCGUAGGGGAACCUGCGGUUGGAUCACCU
rnacentral:rRNA from 1 species